rnacentral:rRNA from 1 species
CCUACGGGAGGCAGCAGUGAGGAAUAUUGGUCAAUGGACGAGAGUCUGAACCAGCCAAGUAGCGUGAAGGAUGACUGCCCUAUGGGUUGUAAACUUCUUUUAUAUGGGAAUAAAAUGUUCCACGUGUGGGAUUUUGUAUGUACCAUAUGAAUAAGGAUCGGCUAACACCGUGCCAGCAGCCGCGGUAAUACGGAUGAUCCGAGCGUUAUCCGGAUUUAUUUGGUUUAAAGGGAGCGUAGGUGGAUUGUUAAGUCAGUUGUGAAAGUUUGCGGCUCAACCGUAAAAUUGCAGUUGAAACUGGCAGUCUUGAGUACAGUAGAGGUGGGCGGAAUUCGUGGUGUAGCGGUGAAAUGCUUAGAUAUCACGAAGAACUCCGAUUGCGAAGGCAGCUCACUGGACUGCAACUGACACUGAGGCUCGAAAGUGUGGGUAUCAAACAGGAUUAGAUACCCGAGUAGUC